rnacentral:rRNA from 1 species
CGCCCUUAGAGUUUGAUCAUGGCUCAGAUUGAACGCUGGCGGCAGGCCUAACACAUGCAAGUCGGACGGUAAGAGAGCUUGCUCUCGACGAGUGGCGGACGGGUGAGUAAUGUCUGGGAAACUGCCCGAUGGAGGGGGAUAACUACUGGAAACGGUAGCUAAUACCGCAUAACGUCGCAAGACCAAAGUGGUUCGUCACACCAUCGGAUGUGCCCAGAUGGGAUUAGCUAGUAGGUGGGGUAACGGCUCACCUAGGCGACGAUCCCUAGCUGGUCUGAGAGGAUGACCAGCCACACUGGAACUGAGACACGGUCCAGACUCCUACGGGAGGGCAG